GGUACCUUGCCAGAGCCAGCAUGGAGGUCGAGAGGGCCGCUUGGUCCUAAAAAGAGACGCGUUUGGUUUAUUCUAUAAAAAAAAAAAAAAAAAAAAAAAGAGGAGAGGAAUCAUUCCUACUCACUCAAAUCAACCCAUAAGCUAUAUUCACAUGCAGCCCCGGUAAAGCUUUAGCAAUUUCACGGAAACAGAGAAGAAGAAGAAGAAGGGGAGAAAAUAAUAAAUAAAUAAUUCAAUUCCUUUUGCCUCAUAUCGCGCUGAAUUAUAUCCAGUGGCUCUAAGAACAAGCUGAAGGAGAUUUUGUCCCUGAGACACACAUGCACCUUCUGGGCAUGAUCUGUGUUCAUUACAGUCUUGAUCCUUUUAGGUAUGUGGAUAUAAAGACAGUCGACACAUGCGAAAGAAAUUAAAAAACACACACACACACACACACACACACACACACAUAGAGGAAGGGAGAAAAAUAAUUGUCCCUGCCUGCAUGAUGCUUUAAAUCAACAUCACUGUACAUAUACCAGCAUGUGAACACUGCCAUUUGUCUAUACAUAUGCACAGCAAAACCAGACAUUGUAAGGAUUCCCCCGCCAGGUGAACAAGACAAUAAUAAUCGUAAUAAUGAUGCCUGUUGACUGUAUUUCUUCAUUUUUUUAACAUCCCUCCGUGCAAUUAUUCUCACCAGUUAAUAGGUUAUCCCUAUUAGCGCUUCUAAUCACACCAAGUGCUAUUCAUCACAAUCCACAAAAAAAAUAAAAAAAUAAAAAAAAACUGUUGUGGCAGGCUACUGAAAUCAUCUGUGCACCCGCUGAAGCUUGAAAAUCCCACUGGCUGCAAAUGUCCCUAAUCCACAGGGUCAGCAAGGCCAUAUCUGGGUCUCAAAAGUCAGAGCUUUGUCUGCAGCCUCUGUGCUCAAAAACGUGAAAUGACUCUAGCUUUAAAUAGGAACUACAUUUUUAAAAUGACACUGGAGGUCAAAGGCCAUGCCCUUCACAUUAAGGCUGGGAUGAAAGUAGAGCUUGAUAAACAGCACUGAAAAAAAGGCAGUUUGGGGUAAUUGAGAUGGGUCAGAUGUUGCCAAAUAAAUAAAUAUCUGCAGAUUAUGAUGAUGUGAUGCAAAGAGAAGGAUGCCGUGAAUGGAAUAGAGGGAUCAGUUCGGGCUUUUUUUAUUUCUCCAGUUGGUUAAUAAUUUUUGGCACUGAAUUUAAACUGCUUUACUUUCACCAUGGCCAGAGGCUAUUUAAAGGAAAUAAAUAAACUGUUGAACUGCAGGUAAAACUUGACAGAAGCCACACAGAUGAAGCUCCAGCCUGGUCAGAGCCUGCAGACAUCAGCCAGCAGCAGCAGAAACACAAGCAGCAGCAUGCAUUGUCCCAGGAUGUAUUACAGUAUAUUGGUGCCCCCUAGCGUAUGAUUUUUCCCUGCUUCAGAAUAAGAUUCAAUUUAGAGGAGCCAUGAGCCAGACACGGAAACUGCUUCAGUCUCGUCGCCCGCAUCGACCAAACUAACGAGCACCAUUUUAAACUGAUGACUGUUUGUUUAAAUUCUGUUUUACAUGACUUGGACGGCAAAGCUUCGAGAGUUGCCAAAGUUGGAUUUACUUUUUUGCCACUUCGGGCAGUCCCAGCGGUGAUCCCGCGAACAUGGAGAGUCUGUAAAUAAAACACCCCGCAAGGUAUCGACUUAUCGAGGAGCCAGUUUUUGCUUCAAAAUGGUAAGUAUAGCUUUUGCAUUCUUUAUUGUGAUAAAGCACUAAAGUAGCAACGCUUUAUUCCUCUGCUCUGAAUUAAAUAAUUGUGUUAAAUUAAGCGGACAGCCUUUAUCUGUGCAAAUAAAAAGACGCGUCCUGCUGCACCACAGACCACAUCAUAUACGAGAUUUCCACAGAGCGCAUUGAAUACGGAGCACUCUGUCAAGUCAUUUUCGCUUAUUAUUAAGCGUUAAUUUAUAGGAUGACCACAACAAAGCCCAAAUACUUUGCAAACACCCACUCAUGAAGUUAUUUGAUAGUGAUAGUGAGGCAGGAGGCUGUAUUCUUAUAGUAACAAACCUACCAAAUGCAUAUGUUGCUGAUUCGUCCGUAGCGGGAUGCAUCUUCUCUCUUAUUCAGAAUAUAUUUAGUCUUCUCUUUUUGUGCUCAGAUUGGAAACGGGCAAAGCUUCCUCUCUCUCUCUCCAACGGGACGGGAUCAAACACAAAAAAGACGCACGCUGUUUAUUGGAAAAUUGCAAUGUCUGAUCAUGCAAAAACUUUGGAGAGCCGAAACAAACAACUGAUUCACGUCAUGUGUUGGUUGUUGUUGUUGUUGCUGAUGAUGAUGAUGAGGAGCGAGGAAUUGGAGAUAUAAGUUGGCGUGUCGUCCGAGCAGAAUACCAAUUUGACUGCCUCUGGAAAUGAUAAGUGGAGCUUUACAGCAAGCAGAGAUCCUGUGCGCCUUUUUCUCUCCUACAGUAAUAUGGCCAAAGCGCGCUUGCACGCCGCUGCUUUGUGUGGGCUAUUGAGGAGAGAGGGAGGGGGUGAAGUCAGAACAGACACCUGUCUUUAAGUGUGGCGAGCAAGUAUUAUGAGAGUCUGCAUAUUUGAAAUUAUAUAUGGAGGCAGGGAGCAAAGACGCAACAUGAGCCUGGCUGUAAUUAAAAAUUAAAAUGAAAAUUAAUUGACAAAAUAAAUAUUUAGUAGUCUAUGCCUAACUGGAGCCUCCUCCAUUAUUAUUAUUAUUAUUAUUAUUAUUAUUAUUAUUAUUAUUAUUAUUAUUAUUAUUAUUAUUAUAUUUUUAAUGUCUUUAAUACGAUAAGAAGCUAUUAACACAUUUUAUUUAUUUAUUUAUUCAUUUACAGUUACAGCUCUUGCAAUUAUGCGUAAUGCAGAAAGUAAAAAGGCCAAUAUAUAUAUGAAAUAGUAUACCAAUUAACCUCGCGUAAAUGUAUAUUGGGUAGAAAUUUACGCACCAUUUUUACGCACAAACGUUUCCAAACCAACACAAUUGAUUAGCUAUUAAACCCUCCCCUCCAAAAAGUCUUCUGCUUAUUUUUUAUUUUAUUAUCAUUAUUAUUAUUAUUCCCCGGGUUUAAAACUUUGCUCUGUGUGAUUUGUGCCGGUUCUCCCUUCAAGCAGGAGGAUAAAAGCACUAUAUGCUCAGCAAGCCUCCAUACACACAACAAUAGCGCUGCCCAACGGGAUCAGUAUCGAUUAAGAAGAGACAGAGGAUGUCGCCUGCACUAAAUAUUUACUGAUCACACACAAAUAGCUGGAUCUUUAACGAUUUCCCAUGCUCCGGCUGGGAGAAGGGACUAAAUCACUUUAUUAUUGUUAGUAAAACAAAGCACACACUCCCGGAACGCAGGAGUGGAGAUGUGCUGAUUGGGAUGAUUGCAGUUAAAUUAAUCGAUAGCGAGAUAGAUAAUAGUUGAGAUUUACGCGCGCGUAAAGAAGGGGGGAAAAAGCAGCUUUCACUCCUAUGGCAGGUUAAAGUGACACGUGCGGUAAUUAUUCAGCGCAAAGUCAACAGAUUACAGGACUCAAACUAAACAAAAGAAUUCGGCUAAAUAUUUCAAUCCUAUAAAUCUGGCUUUUCAAACGCACUCUUAAAAAAGAGAGGAUUGUGCUGCUGACGGGUGAAGAGUCCUCUCACACUUGUGUUAAAAGUCAAAAUUAAAGGAGGAAAAGAAGAGUUGACUUUAAUCUUAUCUGUGCCUUCACCAAGUCCUUCAUGCAGAUAGAGGGAUACUGACCCGAAGGUCUCCAAGUUCCCGGCCUGAUUAACCCUUCCAGACCCGCGCAGGAGCAAAGGUUAACCAGGCUAAUCAACUUCAAGAGUCUGAUUGAAUUAGAUGACUGUGGAAUAAGGACAGAAACUAAACUGUCUCACUUUAAAAAAAAACACCCUUAGUCACUUUUUGACAAUUCACACAAUUUAAAUCAGCAUAAGGAUAAGAAACAGGAAUUAAAUCUACAUAACAGGAGAGAUUAUUUCCUUGUUAACUGGCAACAGGUAAAAAUGUAACAUCUUCAGCUCACUGUCAGCGUUCAAAAACUCUUCAAACACCUACAAAUUGUUUUUCCUGCUUGAUAAAGAUCAUUUGAUUGAUGGUGGCUGUGCCCCAUAUGUCAUGGCAUUUUUAUCUGUUGCAUUGCAUAAUACCAGUCAGUACAAUUUAACUGUGUAGUAAAGGCUUUAUCUCGUCUCUUUACAGCAGUGCUUCAUUGUGAUGUUGUUAUGUUGCUUAUAUGCAAAGAUGAAGAAAAAAAACUAGACCAAUUAGUCAAAUGUCUGCUUGUACAUUUGGCUCCAUUUAGGUAAAGAAUAUUUGCUGACAAAACAUAAUUAAAGUUUCCAGAAGUGACUCCUAAUCAAAGGAAGGAAUAGGAGGAAAGCUUAAGAUAAGCAAAAUAUUCUAAUGUAAGGAUAUUUUAAUGUUUACAAUUUCAAGAUGUUAAAAAAAAGAAUCGCCAACUGUGUGGGCAGAGAAUGAGUUUUUAUUUUAUUUUACACAUUUCAACCUGAUAAUUAGUUCUUAUUCUUCCAGCUUGCAGUUUCUUUUGAAUUCUUUCUUAAUGGUUGAGUUGCUCGCUCUGAAGCGUGGCUUUUACACACUUUAACGACAAACAUAUGACCUGUCCUUUAAAUUAUGUUUCUGUCAUUUUGGCCUCCUAAUAAUGUCAUUAUAAAAAAUGGAAUUCCAUUAUCUUAAUUAACACCCCCUUAUGGUAAAUGUGGUGUGUGUAAGUGAUUUGGUGGUAUGUAAGCUGUGAGGGAAAAGGUGUAGGAUUUUAUUUUUUUUCAUAAGUAGACAUAUAUGCAUGUUUUAGUUGAGCCCGUUUCAUAGAGUUCAUUCAGUGGUGUAGAUCACUUUCUCUGUGUCUGCGUGCCCCAAGGGCCGCUAUCUAAAAAGGCAAUAGAUCCCAAAUAGCUCACUGUGUUCAAUUUGCCAAUGACAGAUUAUAGUGCCAAUUUGAACAGAUAGGGAUCAAUUUGUCUCAAUGAUCACUCUUUAGGCUGACUGCCAGCGCGCUCUUAAUGUAUUUGUAAAUGCUUAUUGUUUGAAUCAUUGCUGUUGGGUUGAAAGUGAUCAAAAACUGCAGAGAGAAGGAUGAGUGGUGUAAACGCUGUGUUGUUUUGGCUGCUAAAGACUGCAUAGAUGGAGCGUACAUGAUGAUUACUUCAGGCAGCCGCAUUGUAGCAGCAAUGACCAGAGGGGUCAAUGGUUUAACUCUAAGGACUCGCUGGGAAAGUCUGGGUGGGGGGAAUUGUGUGAUAAGUGCUCUCUAACCCCUAGAAAACUACUGCUGAAGUGCCCUUCGGCAAAGCAGCUUAAAUCCCAUCUGUCCCAGUGGAGCUGCACAGCGACCAUCAGCACAACACUGCAGUUGUACCAGCCACUUGUGAUGUGUCUCUUUGAGCCCUCUCUUUUCUCUUUAAAAAGGGGAAGAGUGGGCAGUCCACUCGCUUCACACUCUUUUUUUUUUUUCAUGUGCUCAGAGUGAAAAAGUUUGGGAGAAGACACAAGAGAGAAAGCCGUGGCAGCAUUCAGUCCUGAGCCAGACAUGGCUCACAUGUGGCCCCAAAGGCAGCAGACAGUGUAUUGAAUUACUGUAACUCAAGGUGUAAUGUGGUAGCAGUGGGGGAUAUGUAAAAACUACACAAACGGAUGUAGUAGAGGCUUACUUCAGCUUCGCAUUACAGCUAUUCAGACGGUUUAUUUUCUUAAACUAAAUAUUGAAUCAUGUAUUAGUUCUAAUGGAAGCCAUACUUUUUAUAAUGGCAAUCAGCUACUCUUAGAUUUACUAGUUCUAUCAACCUACUAUUGUUUCAACAGCAUUGUGUCACCAGGUUUAGUCAUUUUUAUGUGUUCAUUUAUUCUAAAUAAUUAUGUUUAUAGCACUCAGAGAGGACUCGUUAAUGCAUGCUGGUAAAGUUGCACAAGAAUAACAGCUGUUUUUAUUACUUUUUGAAGAUUUUGGAUGUUUUGGAAAGUGGUGCUGAUGUGGUGCGUACAACUAUGAGAUGACUGCUCACGUAUUAGUGUUUGUAUUUCUCCUUAAGUAGCUGAUUAAGUAGCCCAUGUGUAUGAUUUUAAUUUGCAGAGUGCCACACCUAUGACAAAUAAAGUUUUGAUCUAUGA